UACGGGGGGAGCAAGCGUUGUUCGGAUUUACUGGGCGUAAAGGGCGCGUAGGCGGCGCAACAAGUCACUUGUGAAAUCUCCGGGCUUAACUCGGAACGGUCAAGUGAUACUGUUGUGCUAGAGUGCGGAAGGGGCAACUGGAAUUCUCGGUGUAGCGGUGAAAUGCGCAGAUAUCGGGAGGAACACCAAUUGCGAAGGCAGCUCGCUGGGACGUUACUGACGCUGAGACGCGAAAGCGUGGGGAGCAAACAGG
rnacentral:rRNA from 1 species